GCACAUUAGGAGGGGAGGUGCCGGGUCACAUGGCCAGGCUGGUCAUUUCCUGUCCUCCCCCAGGGGAUGAGCAUGCAGGUCAGAGAAUAGGCCCUAGCCCAUGAGCACGGAGGAAGGGACCUUAAGGAAUCCCUCUCAUUUUGACAAGGAAAGCAAAAGCCCAGAGAGAUCACACAACUAUUUAGAAAGGUAGGAACGGAAAGAGCUGUCUUCAGACUUCUUCUCUGGGAGGUUAAUGGGUUUUCCCCUUGGCUUUCGAAGAGGGAGGUCUGGCAUCAAUAACUGGCAGUGCUGUCUUCCUGGGACUCGGGCUCCACCCCUUUACCGUGGGUGUGCGUGCUCACAGCUGGCACUCAUUCAUUCCCUCAUGGAAGCCUUCCCUGGGCUAAAGGCAUCAUCAAGAGGUCCAGAAAUGUUUCUCACUAGCAAAGGGCACUUCGGUCAUCUCAGAUUCUCCAAAUGUCUCAGAAUCCUUCCCUGAGACCCCAAAGGCAGGUACCAAGCAGCGUCCACAUGACCACCUCACCCCAAGCCCAAAACACAGAAUUAGCACAGUUCAGUAACUCACUAAAGGAGAAUGCUGCCACAGUGACGUACCCAAGAACCGUAACCAAGCUUACCUCACUCCAACCCCUUGACCUGGCCCCUAUACCUCCCACCUUCACCUGGAGAGAACACACAAGCACCUCACUCAAUGCCUGGCUCACAGAGGUGACAGAGAACAAAUCCCGUUCCCCUUCCCCCUAUGCCCAGAGACAUUUGGGCAGAACACACACACACAGACACACACUUUGCAGCUGUGUGAGCCACCCACGCAUACUGCAAACAAGCUUCCUGACCCACUGUCUACAGCAGCUGUACCACUCUACACCCCCAGAGCAAGCUGGACCACCAGCAGCACGCCGAGCCACGAUCCAGGCCCCCCUCUAGCCCUGGUACUGACCCUGGCACCUGGGCAGGUGAAAGGGACUCACCCAGCGCAGCCCCUGGAUGCAGCUCGGAGGCUGGUGCUCCAGCAGCAGCUGGUAGGAGCAGCUUCGGGGCCGGUGCAUCUUCCUCAACACCAUGUUGAGUAGUGUCCCCUCCGGCACCACGUCAGGGAGGGGUCCCACCCGCGGUGCUCCCAGAGCUGGGCUAUCCUCCACAGCCAGGCCCACCUGCCAGCAGCUCUCACCUGGCCAGCCCACCUGUGACACA